CGGCAAUAUUUAUGACCAUGAUCAUUAAAUGCAUUGAGUCAUAAAAGCGGAACAAAA
rnacentral:snoRNA from 1 species